CCUACGGGAGGCAGCAGUGGGGAAUCUUGCGCAAUGGGCGAAAGCCUGACGCAGCCAUGCCGCGUGAAUGAUGAAGGUCUUAGGAUUGUAAAAUUCUUUCACCGGGGACGAUAAUGACGGUACCCGGAGAAGAAGCCCCGGCUAACUUCGUGCCAGCAGCCGCGGUAAUACGAAGGGGGCUAGCGUUGCUCGGAAUUACUGGGCGUAAAGGGAGCGUAGGCGGACAUUUAAGUCAGGGGUGAAAUCCCAGAGCUCAACUCUGGAACUGCCUUUGAUACUGGGUGUCUUGAGUGUGAUAGAGGUAUGUGGAACUCCGAGUGUAGAGGUGAAAUUCGUAGAUAUUCGGAAGAACACCAGUGGCGAAGGCGACAUACUGGAUCAUUACUGACGCUGAGGCCCGAAAGCGUGGGGAGCAAACAGGAUUAGAUACCCUGGUAGUCCACGCCGUAAACGAUGAUUGCUAGUUGUUGGGAUGUUUACAUCUCGGUGACGCAGCUAACGCAUUAAGCAAUCCGCCUGGGGAGUACGGUCGCAAGAUUAAAACCUCAAAGGAAUUGACGG
rnacentral:rRNA from 1 species